GGCCGCCCCCUGCCCCGUGCCAUCAUGGUGGCGGCUCGCCUCCGCCGAGCGGCCCGGCCCGGCCCGGCCCCACAACAUCCACGCAGCGGUGUGCGAUUCGCCCUGCCCGGGCUGACACUGGUUCACGGGGAGAGCGCAGGGCAGUGCUAACUGAAGUGAUAGCAAAUAAUUGUGUUGCAGUUUGAUACAUUGGCUAAACACGCUCCUGUGAACGGCGAAAAAUAUGCAGCCUUCUUCCUCUUCACUCAGUGCGGCACUGAGAAGACAAAAGUGCCUAGUUCAUAUGCACAUGAUGUCACUGUCCUGUUGAUGCAGAGGGAAGCCUGCUCAUUAGAGAGAGGAUAGAAUGUGAAGACUCCACGGCUGACCAAAGUUUCCCCUGCUGCAGAAGAGGAAACAGAGGUCGUCCUUCAUUCACCAGCAGUCUCAUCAAGAAGUGAGCUGCACUGAGCACAUAUUCCAGAAGAAGAAAUUGAAACGGUUGCAGAAGCCCCAUUGCUUUUCAUCACACUUUACAUCCAGAAAAGUUCCAUAAUUUGGUGACAUGAGCAGUUGAAAAUGUUCUGUUUGGAUCAUGUUAUAUUUAACACAACUGCAGUUAGCAUCAUCAGAAAAUUGGCAGGCCAUUUUGCCCCACAUUAGCAUCCCUGAGGAUGCUAACUGAAUUAUACUGGCUGGAUUCCUAUCUGAAAUAGUUUUUCCCUUUUUUUUUCCUCAUCUAUACUCUAUUGUAAAUUGAAUAACAGCCUAAUGAUUUGUCAGGUCACACUGUCCUGCCACAAGAGACAUUGAAUGUUGAUUUACAUUCCACAUUGACAGCAUCAUGACAGAAAGCUUGCCAUCUUGUCUUUCUAAAAAUGUCUGCAAAAUUCAUGGCUCAGUUUGUUUGUUUUUUAUGUGAUUUUAUCCAAUUACUCUGAGCUUUUCCUCCUGCUCCAGAAAAGACAACAUUUUGAUAAUGCCUCUUUGUUCUUGGGUUUUGUUGAAUUCAGCAUCUUUCUACAAGGCCCAGUUUAGUUCAUUGGAAAAGUGAUGGACGUGCUCUCAUUUCUAUUGAUUGUUAUAGAGGAUGGGCUAGAGCCAUAUACAAAUAAAUAAAUAAAUAAAUAAA